UCUACCCUCGGGUGGGGGAAUAACUCUUCGAAAGGAGAGCUAAUGGCCGACAUGUGCAUCACUCUCGCAAGGGAGUGCUGGAAAGCCGUACCGUGGGUGCGGCGCCCAAGGAUGAGCUCGCGUCCUAUCAGCUUGUUGGCGGGGUAACGGCCCACCAAGGCUGCGACGGGUAGCUGGUCUGAGAGGACGACCAGCCACACUGGCACUGCGACACGGGCCAG
rnacentral:rRNA from 1 species